rnacentral:rRNA from 1 species
GAAACUGCCGCAGGUUAAUGCGGAGGAAGUGGGAUGACGUCAAGUCCUCAUGGCCCUUAUGUCCAGGGCUACACACGUGCUACAAUGGGCGGUACAAAGGGUCGCAAACCCCUAAGGGGGAGCAAAUCCAUCUAAAGCCGUCCUCAGUUCGGAUUGAGGUCUGCAACUCGACCUCAUGAAGCUGGAAUCGCUAGUAAUCGCGGAUCAGCAUGCCGCGGUGAAUACGUUCCCGGGCCUU